UUGAAAGGGGUGCCUACUUUUAUGGCUGAGAUCAUACCCUAUGAACCUGUUCGGGUAAUGCUGGCGUAGGAAUUGUUCAU
rnacentral:ncRNA from 1 species